rnacentral:rRNA from 1 species
GACGUAGGAGGCGAGCGUUGUCCGGAUUCAUUGGGCGUAAAGAGCACGCAGGCGGUUUGGCAAGUCGGAUGUGAAAACCCGAAGCUCAACUUCGGGCCUGCAUCCGAAACUGCCCGACUAGAGGUAGGUAGGGGAGAUCGGAAUUCCUGGUGUAGCGGUGAAAUGCGCAGAUAUCAGGAGGAACACCGGUGGCGAAGGCGGAUCUCUGGGCCUUACCUGACGCUGAGAAGCGAAAGCAUGGGGAGCGAACAGG